rnacentral:misc_RNA from 1 species
CCGAGUUUACAACUCCCAAACCCCUGUGAACAUACCUAUUGUUGCUUCGGCGGGAUCGCCCCGGCGCCCUCGGGCCCGGACCCAGGCGCCCGCCGGAGGACCCAAACUCUUCUGUAUUUACAGGUUUUAUCUUCUGAGUACAAACACAAACAAGUAA